CCUACGGGGCGCAGCAGUGAGGAAUAUUGGUCAAUGGGCGCAAGCCUGAACCAGCCAAGUCGCGUGAGGGAUGACGGUCCUAUGGAUUGUAAACCUCUUUUGUCGGGGAGCAAGGCCCGCCACGUGUGGCGGGAAGGAGAGUACCCGAAGAAAAAGCAUCGGCUAACUCCGUGCCAGCGGCCGCGGUAAUACGGAGGAUGCGAGCGUUAUCCGGAUUUAUUGGGUUUAAAGGGUGCGCAGGCGGUCUGUUAAGUCAGCGGUCAAAGCCCGGGGCUCAACCCCGGCCCGCCGCUGAAACUGGCAGG
rnacentral:rRNA from 1 species